rnacentral:rRNA from 1 species
AUUGAACGCUGGCGGCAUGCCUUACACAUGCAAGUCGAACGGUAACAGGUCUUCGGAUGCUGGCGAGUGGCGAACGGGUGAGUAAUACAUCGGAACGCGCCUAGUAGUGGGGGAUAACUACUCGAAAGAGUGGCUAAUACCGCAUGAGAUCUACGGAUGAAAGCAGGGGAUCGCAAGACCUUGUGCUACUAGAGCGGCCGAUGGCAGAUUAGGUAGUUGGUGGGAUAAAAGCUUACCAAGCCGACGAUCUGUAGCUGGUCUGAGAGGACGAUCAGCCACACUGGGACUGAGACACGGCCCAGACUCCUACGGGAGGCAGCAGUGGGGAAUUUUGGACAAUGGGCGCAAGCCUGAUCCAGCAAUGCCGCGUGCAGGAUGAAGGCCUUCGGGUUGUAAACUGCUUUUGUACGGAACGAAAAGCCCUGGGUUAAUACCCUGGGGUCAUGACGGUACCGUAAGAAUAAGCACCGACUAACUACGUGCCAGCAGCCGCCGUAACAC